GCCUAAGGACUGAGUGCAGAUACUUGGGAUUUUCUUGUGUUUCAAAGAAAGAUCUGAGGGUAAAAUCAGCCUUGUUCCCAGCUUUCCUUCUGAGCACAUGCAGCUAUAUAGAGAUUGAGUAACCCUUUAGUGAGGUAUGAGUUUGAUUUCUCUAAGACAGAGAAAAGAUUGCACCUACAUCUGAAAUUUCUUAAGGAAAUAGAAGAUCAUUGUGGAUACUGGACAGACAUUGAUGCUACAUAUUACAGGGAUCCUGGUCUGGCACAUCAGUGAGCCAUAGAAAAGGCAAAAUGAGGUCCUAUAAGAAAAGAGAUCUGGCUGUAACAUCAGAUCUUUUCUUCCCUUACCCUCUUCUCCAAGACUGGAUCAAGAAUUUCCUUGUGAAUCCCAGGAGAAUCUGCAAAGCCCACAGCUUAUGAAAAAGUUGUCCUGGGAAAGAUGUAUCCCUCCCCUCCUCCUCCUCCACCCUGCAGCAGGACCCAUUGUCUGCCGGCGGCAAGGCAUAAAGGAGUUAACGAAGGAGCCGGCGAGGAGGUAUGACGGGGUGAUGUCAGAAUAUUUCCAGGGAAAGAAUGUGCUGGGGGGCGCUGGCCGGGCUGGGGCUGGGGCUGGCGGCCCCCGGCCCCACCCCGACAUUCUUCUUGUCCGGUUCCCACAGGCGGAGAGUGGCACGGGGGGUCAGAGUGGACGAGCACAAAGAGAGACCCCCUGCUGCCGGGGCCAUCGUGCUGGGCUGUCACUGCUACUAAUUCAUGACUUCACCUUUAAUCUCACUGAUCCAUUAUAGGUUAAAAAGAGACCCAUUUUACAGCUGACAAGAUUGAAGGGAGCGCAACCCAGGAACUGGGGGGCGGGGGGGUGGGCAUGGGGUCGGAAAAAAAAAAGAGGGGGAGAGAGAAAUAACCCCCGCUAAAGUUUGUACAAUUGGGACCAUCUGCUAAAAAUAGAUUUUGUGGGGUUUGUUUGUCCUUUCCCUUCACUACGACAAUAUCUAUUUUAAGAAGAAAGCUGGUAACUGCAGUUAUAUCAGAAUUUUUGCACACAGGGUCAGAGCAAAAAGGAAUGGGUAUGAGAGGGAAGACCACGGUAAGAAAAGAUUAAGAUUUUAGGGCCAGGGCUGCACUGGGGAAAGGAUGGGAAGCAUUCAGAUAGCUUAGUGCUGCUUUUAGUGCAUGUUUGGUGAGGUCAUCAUAUAAGGAAAUGACUAAGAAAUUUAUCAAAUGCUGAUGUCAAAGGUAAGCUGAUCAAAUCAACAUUGAUUCAGCAGAUUAGUAACUAAAUGUGUGUGGCACUUACAGCAUGUUUAUAAUGACACAAAUGAAGAAUUUUCAGAAAUCAUUAGACCUCCCGUGCUGUGAGCUGCAGGUGAAGUCUCCAGAAGCAAUUCCACUACUUUCGUUAGUAGCAUAAUCACGUCUAAUUUGUCCUUUAAUGAAGGUUUUUAUGCUGUUAUUUCAAGCAACUAAAGCGCAUAUUUUCAGUGAACUUCAAAAAGUAAGCAAGUUGGAAAGAAAAAAGUGUAGUCUCUGAAAAAAAUGAAGCAGUGGAGGAAUGGUAUUUUGCCAUACACCCGCAAAAAGAACUACUUUUUAGCAUAUAGCAAAGAAUUCUUGGAUUUCCUGGUUUUGUUCUAUAUAAGUGAGGAUGCUGUUUGUAGCUGUGUGUAAUGCUAGUUCAGGGGGUUAGGGCAUUGCUCCUUUUUGCUUCCUCUAACUGAUGAUCUUUGACAAAACCUUUUAAUUCCCAAAGCAUAUUUACCAAGUCCACCAAACUAGUCUAUCAUUCCUACUGUUCUGAUUGUAUCAGAGAGCAUUGAAGCCCAAGAAGUAAAUUGUUUGCUGGAUUCUCCCUGUCUUUUUUGCCCUUGAACUGCUGGAGCUGCAUCUCAUAGGAUUUUGCAACAUAAGUAUGUAGUUUUAUACUGCCAGAAGUGCAGAGCUUUUGCAUAUGCUACACCAUCCUGUUCCUUCCUUUUUCCACUCCCAGCAGAGGAACUCUGGAAGUUACUGGCAUCACGGCUGCCCACUGCCAUGAGGUGAGGGUGGAGAGUGGGGAAGUUUAUCAUGAGGAUGCAAAAGAAAUUUGCGAAGAUUUUUGGGGUUUUGGGAAUCAAGUCUGUGAAGGAGAUCAGCUUCUGGUGUCUGUUGUGGGAAGUUAUAAGAAAGAAUGGGGACCUUUUCCGUGAGCCAUUGUCAGUUAUAGUCAGUGAUGAAAGUCCUAUUGAAAAGAGCCUCUGAUCAAAUCCAAACCUGUUCUCCUGAGAGUGACAUUGCCUGCAAAUGGAGGCAGAUUGAGGUCCGCAACUGGCCAGUGCUUUGGACACAUUCUGCUUGCUUUAGUCACACAAAAUGACGUACUGAUGCAAGUUUCCAGCAUCCAAACAGGCAGCCCUUUCAUAGGCAAAAGCCCUAAUGAAGUCACUGGCAGACAGCCUCACUGGCCUAAGGCCUGCAGGCUAUUUCCCUAGUCAAUACACUGGACCUAAUCUUAUACCCCUUGAGCAUCAAACCCCAUGUGUAUUUUCUGCAAGUAUUUGUUCUCUUUCUGCAGAAGUGCAAGAUUUGUGUGCAGUAGAGUGCGGUGUCAGUGAGCAGCUGCUUCUCCUUCAGCAUGAGUUGUUCAGCACACAGACUUCAUUGGCUGCUGGUUGGACAAAACCACACUGCAAAGCUGAGGCGAGGAGCAGCGAGGCUGCCAAAUACAAACCUCCUGUUUUAGUUUGCAGAUGCCCAGAAGGAGCCAAGAAAGCAGCUUCCAUGUGUAUUGGAUGGAUAAGGGUUGAACUGCUGAACUGGAUGGCAACAGCUUGGCCUGGAAGCAAAAGAGGAGGGAAUGAAGGUGGUACAGAUUACCAGACUAAUUGCUUUUUCUUUUUUAAAGUAAAGUGAAGCACCCUAUGGAAGACACAGGACAUUCAUACACCCAAAUCUGUGUCAGCAUCCUGCUGGCAGUAAGAGCUUUUGCACAAACAUCUGAUUGCAGAGCUAGAAUUCAACAAAGCAAGAAGAAACAGGCUGGAGAGCAACUACCUAAAUACAUGCAGUAACACAGAGAGUGGGAAGCGGAACUGAGAGAACAAUAAAUGAAGAAACAAUGAAAAGGUCAAGCACUUACUCAGGAUUCCUCAUGAAUACUGCUGAAGGAAAUCUUGCUUAUAGUGGAAAAACCCAAAUAUAAGAUGCAAAGAGCACAUGGGGCCAUCAAGACAGGAUGAAGCUCCAUUUUUGUGACUGCCUUCACGAGAAUGCCCUGAUUUAAAAGAGAGAUACAUUUUGUGCAGAUGAUAUUGGAACAUUUGAUGCACAAACAUGAUCUUCCAUCCUUCCUUUCCACAUAGUGCUGGUUCAGUUGCAAAUGUGUGGAUGGCAGAACCCUCGCUUACUGUGCAAGUGAACUGGGGUAAGACAUGUGUGGUGACCAUGGUUCUGCAAGCUCCAGAGUUUUCAGAGCAUCUGGAGCAGAGUUCCCUGGCUGUGGGGGGCUCACGAGUGGCUCGUGUGUCCACAUGGAUACUGAGGCUGGGUGGGGGAAGAGGGCAGGUGUGUCCACAUGUAGGUGAAGGGUUGUUGAAGAAAAUGGAAGAAGGAAAUUGCCAUCUCAGGGGUUGUGAAGCCUAAUACUACUUGAGCUACUUUUGCAGCCAUCAGACCAAGCUGUGUUGGAAAGGAUAAAAGAAAGCCAACAUGGCACACUGAAACCCCCAUAUGUGGUACCUUCAAGGAUUCCCUUCAGCAGUACCCCAUCGCUACUCUUUACUCAGGAAAAAUAUUUUCUCAAAUAUUCUUCAGUGCUGCUUACAUUCCUGAUCUUCUCCAUCCCCUUCCUGCAGUGCAUAUGUUCCUCUGCUCUCUGGUGUUUUUCUUUUGGUACAUGUUUCCUUGGCAUGUGGUCCUUUCCUCUUCUGGACCUCCUGCCUCAUCAUCUUCUCCCACUGGCAAUUCUGGCCCCACUGGCUUUCUGUAUAGUGCUUGUACAGUUCUUUCUUCGUGCUCUAGAAAAAGCAAAGCAGGGGUGCAGUGUCAGACAAACCCAGAUGAAAAAGGAAGGGAUGGAUCUGACAACUCCAUGAACCUGCAAGUGUCUCACACUUGGAAUCCUCUUAGCUCUUGCUGGGCUGGUUGCAGUAGGUGACUGAGCUAUAGGAACUGUUUCACCCAGAACUGACAAGACAGAAAAUGAUGUAUCACAGCUUUGAGAAAAAAGUGUGAUUACACAGUACCCUAAUUUCUAUUUAAAUAUAAUCCCAAAUCGCUCCUGCAUUUCUCUGACAUCCGGGGUAAAAAAAUAUUUUCAUUUGUUUUAUUAAAAAAAAAAAAACAACAAAUAAAAAACAAGUGAAAGCAAACAAACUUUCAAAUUAAUCCCCAUACUAACUGCAUUGCAAGUAAUACAGUUACAUCAGGGCUUCCUUUGGGUCAAUAUUUUCUUUUGCCUGAAGGCCAAAUAGGUACUUAAGCAUCACCUAAUAACCAAAGACCAAAUACAAGCACCAGGCUGACAUGUCAUCCAUUUUCCACCCCCUCCAGAUUGUUUCUGUCUGUCUCAUGCUCUUCAAAUGGCAAUGCAAAGCCCAUAUGCUAUGGUGUCAGGGAAAAAUUCCCAACACAGCAUCUGGCUGCAUGGCAGAUCCCAAGGCAGUUGGUGUAUCAGCUUUGGAGCUGCCUCUGCUUUUGUCAUGUACCAGGGAUUGGUGAUGGGACUGCCUUGUCACCCCACAAAUCACUUCGGAUUCCAAGGAAUCACUAGGUUUGUGUUUGUAAAUAAGCUUCUGCUUAAGCCUUUCAUGAGAUCUCUAUACAGGCCUCCUAUUACGGCAAAAUAAUGAGAAUUUCUUAACACCAAUGUGAGUGUGUUCAGCAGAAAUAUGUGGGUUUAUUUUAAAGUGGACCUCAGCCUGGUACAUACAGGUCACUGUAUACUGGGAUUUCUUUCUCAGAAAACUCUCUUGAAUCUUGAAUGCUCUUUGAAAAGGUCUUUUUUUUUUUUUCCCUUUGCUCACCAGUGUAGAAGCCAUUUCUUGAUGAAUAGGAUCCAUAAUGCCUGGAGAUAUUUGAGAUCAAGCAUAUGGUCCUUUGAAUAUGCAUGGCAGCGGGGUGGGAGGGAAUUGAUGUGCAGCACUGGGGAAAGUGUGUCUGAAAGUUAAGCAGUGCAGAGUUUGGGGGCAGCCUUUCUGCAUAUUUGGGGAACCAUCACUUUCUGUUUCCUCUGAUAUACUAGUGACUAGCUAGCAAUUUGUGGUCAAAAGCAUAGCUGUGGGGGUUGAGUACUCAAAGAUUUGAUCUUGGCUUGUGUUAGACAGAAAAAUACCAUUUCACUUGUGGUUUCCUGCAAAAUGUUUGCUUUUACAACCAAACCAUUAAACAAUAAAAACUCAAGUUAUUCAGAAGUACAUAAAGAUAAGAAACUUAUUUAACUGACAAAUGACCAAUUCUUUGCUAGGAGAGAGUCUCAAAUGACUCUUCUUCACAUUUAAAUGAAAAGAGUGCUUGGAGAUUACACAUUCUGGUAAGUUUUCCUUACCAGUGGAGAGAGAGAAAAGGAGACAGGACUGAAUAGGAGCGAUUGGGCAUGAAGUAGUAACUAUGAGGUCCCGGAGGCAGGAGAACAAGAGAGGGAAGAAAAAAAAAAAGACAAGAGAACCCAGAAGAAAGGCAAGGGGGAGGAGGGGUGGAGGAAAAGAUAUGUAGCAGUUAUUUAAGAGAUGCCAGGGAAAACUGGGAUGUUUGUGUGUUUGAGAAGAAAGACAAUUUUAAAGUACAGAAACUGAGCCAGGAACUAUGAAGAUUUACUGGAGAUAACCCUGGAUAAAAUGUUACAUAUCUGAGACUUGAAAAAGUUUUGGGAGGGGUGGGGGGUUUGAUUUUUUUAUGUCAUUGCCACAGCAUUUUUUUUACAUGUCAAAAUGUCACAAAUAUAUUAAGAUUAAUUUACUUCAUGGCACAAAAUAAUGAAUCACACUGCAUUCAUUUCUUACGGUUGCUGAAAGUCCUGGAGAAAUGAAGAAUUAAAAGCCUUUUUAAAAUAACCUUCUCCCUCAUAUGCAGGAUGUGACAGUGGGGCAACCACAGUGAUGUGCACCAUCGUCAGUAUUCCUACCAAAGGAAUUUUCAUUUUCUGAUCUUACUAGUAAGAGUGGAUAUGGGAGAGAAGAAAGAUGCUUCAUUACUGCAUGUAAUAGCCCUGAAUAAAUUGCACAAAACUGACCUUUUGCACAUCUUGAGUCUUGCAGAUAUACCAUUUUGUGGAGGACAGGGUGUCUGUGUGUGUGUGUGUCUGUGAAAAAUGCAUGUGUGGGGUCAUGUUUUAAAACAAACUCUAUGUCAAAACCAAUACAAUUCUGAAACAAAACUCUAGACCUUUCUGCUGUCUGGUUAGUGUGGGACUGACCCUUCAGCAUUCAUGCAUCUCUUAAAUCUGAUUUAAAAUCACAAAGGUGGGGGGAGGAGAAACACUAGGUUCAUAUACUCUUAUUUUUGUCUAGUCAAGUAAGCAUUUUCAAUGGUGUCUUUGCCAGAACAGUUCUUCCUAUCAAUGGGUCCUGUGUGAAUAUUGAGGAUGACAGCUUAAAUCACUGUGAGAAUGAUGAACACAUUACAACACCUUGUUUUGCUGCUGUAAGUCCUGACACAUGGCACCAGCAACAUGUGCAACUCAGGGAAUUAUGCAGGCCUGUACAUAGACACUGAAGAUGCACCAAAAUGGCACCUCAGAAUUGUGGCUCUGAAAACUAAUUUUGCCCAGCCACGCAGGUCUGCUGACACAAGCACAAGGAUCAUCUGUUUCUGCAGACACUACUGCACACUGCAGAUAUCCUGGGCAGGAAGUUUUCUGAGAACACCUGCAUCUCAGUUGCUGUGACUUCAGCUGAUUACCUGGGGUGCCUGAUUUAGGCUUUCUGACUACUAUUGCAUCCAAAAUCUUCAGUGAUUCAGACAGCUACUGACAAAUCCUGGUCCUUUGUACAGUCACUGGAGAGAAGUAAUUUCCAUGCCUAAGUGCAGAUCUGACUAGGACCCAUCAUUGUAUUGUCUGUUUUAUCUCCACAAGCAGGAAGAACAAAUAAUUCUGAAGCACUGAAAAAAAUCUUUUCUACCUUCCUGGGUCUCGUCUGUCAUGGUUUCCCUGGGAAGAAGACAAGAAGAGGACCACAUAUUUAAUUUUUUUCUAUGGGUUUUGUUUGCUUCAAAGAUUGAACUGAGUUUGCUUUUUCUUUCUUCUCGUAUUUGAGGGGCCCGAGAGCAUGAGUAGCUCUUCUCUUGAGCCCAUUUGAAAAGUAUGUUAAGUGCGGCAGUAUUGUUGCAUCAUUUUUUCAUAGUGUUCUUCACAAGUAUAUAGAAAUUAAAAUUCAGUUCUAAAAGAGUGCACAGCACUGGUAUUAUAAAAAUCUUUUUAAUUGAGUUACUUAAGAGAAGAUGUUUACUUACUCCUUAUCUCAGUGACCAAUCUAUUUACAUCCAGGCACUUUUCAACAAUGCAUUUUUGAAAAAAAAAAAAGCACAUGAGAAGAGUUUUGAAGUUUUGAAAUCUUCACAAACAGAAAAAGUUUUGAAAGUCUUGGGCAGUUUUUCUGAAAAAGAGCAGAAAAAACCCUGGAAAAGGCUUUGAACUUUGCCAUAGUGAUCUCUAUUUUCACGGUUACUAAGCAAAACUUUGGACAUGGACAUUCUGAGGGGGUUGUUUAAUGAUAAAUGAAAAGUUUCUUGUAAACAUUAAAGGAAAAAAUAGCAUGGAUGGAAAGUGAAACCCAACUUGGUAUCUCCUUUAUCACUUGGUCUAUCUAAAGUGGAAAACUCAGAGGUGAAAAUAAACAGUGGAAGAAAUGGAGAAAUCAAAACAACAAAUAAAAAGUGAGCAGAUGACUCAUGAGAAAGAGGCUGUUACCCUACGGAGAAAUCUGAGGCUGUUUUAUAACAUUUGCCAUGGCUUUGUCACAGCACAUGAGAUCUGUCAUAUACAUGUUUUGUACCUUAUUUGAAUGGUCCCUUGAAAUAAUUCAUGCUGCUUCAUGAUAGAAAACAUAAAAAAGGCUACAAGAAAGGAAUGAGAUGUCAGCAUAGCACUGAAUCAAAUUUUUCAGCAUAUUAUAGGAGGAGAAGCCAUGGCACCUGAAGCCAAAAAUCUAUGAGACAGUGCAAAUUUGUUUUGAAACAAAUAUCAACAAUGAAAUACUUACUAGAUUGUCUGAGCCCUGGAAAGUCAGUGAAUUAGUUCCAGCAUUGACACAAUGAGGUUAUUUUACCAAGCUGAUAGACCGUAAUGAUUAUCAAAUGUGUUCAAGGAAAUCAAAUCCUGUAGUCAAGUCAAUCCCAUCCAGAACCUGAUUAGCUUUUAGAGCUCAAGCUUGAUUACCUUAAUUUCAUUAGUAAAAAACACCACAAGACUAGCAGACACUUAGAACCAUCAAAUGAUUUUUUUCCUUGUGAUCUCAGAGUUGAUGUCACGUGAGAAGGCAACAAAAGACUGACACAGACAUUGAUUCUGCAGGACAUCUGCAUAGGACUUUUUAACUGUCUUUUGGCUGUGAAGAAGUUGUUAGAUGCACUUUUUUCCUUGAGCUUCUAUCUGUAAGAACAUGUGAAAAAUGGUGGUAUAUGAGGGAAGUGGUUUUAACACUCUAGACAAACACAAGAGAGGAGCUUGUGUACAUGGAACUGCUGGUGGUGCAUUGUAUUUAGACACAAGCUGCUUAAAGAAGUUCCUGUUAGACACUGCGUGGUGCCCUUCUGAAAAGAGAAAGAUAUGACAUAGUCAAGUGUGAAGAGACUGUGUUCUAUCCAUUUUUCUUAUUUCCCUGGGCAGAAAUUAUGUUUUGUCUGAGAAUGUUACCCGGUGAAUCGAUACUUCUUACUGCUGCUAGUUGUCUCACUGAAUGUACAGCUGGCAAACUACGUGGAUAUAUAGAUGAAGAGAUAUUGAAAAUCAUGUAGCAAGAUAUUAAAAAACAGUCUGGACAUGGCCCUGCUUUAGGUGCCCAUGCUUGAACAGGGGGUUGGACAAGAUAAUUCCUGGAGGUCCAUUCUGACCUGUGAUUCUGUAGUAACAUCACAAAAGCUGAUCAUUGUCUUUGCUCUGAAAACAACAGGUCAUGUCACACUCUUAUCAUGGAAAUAGUAACCAUGUGAGCCUUAAUUUUAGUGUCAAUCCUCUCUUUUAAUAUAGCGAUGUCAACCUUCUUGCAGACAGCUACUUGGUGGUGUGGGCUCAGCUGGUGUCAGCAGGUAUAAUCUGGGCUGAUACUACAUCCCAAUGAAACCUAAUGAGCCCAUUUCUCAUUUAUGCCCCAUACAUCUGACAUGGCUUUACAGAACUUUGUGAAAACCUACUAUUUAUGUUGUGGGUAGAUGUACUUUGGGAUCCAGAGUGCAUCUGGAUCAUGCAGAGUUAUCUGCAUUAUGUGUCAGCUUUUGAGAGGGUAAGCAGUCAUUCCUCCUGCCUACCUCCAGAUCUGACAGUUUGUGUGGCAGCUGUAGAACCACUUCCCUGCAAAGUCCAAGCUGUCUUUGAAGAACCUUGUGCUACUGUCAUUGAGAGGCUGGAGCUCUGCCAGCACCCACAUUGCUUUGAGGGCUGGUGGGUACAUGAGGAAAGUAAGAUCCCUGAGCCUCUCCUUCCCACAGCCCUCCCACACAGGUCUUUGCAGAGCUGAGCCUUGGCUUUUAAACCAGCACAAUUUAAAAAAAUACUCUUUGAAUAACCAUUUUAGUGUCUGACAUUGUCAGUUAUUAAUCAUAAAAAUCCUCUGAUGGAGCCCUGCAGAAGGAACUGGAACUGAACCCAAUCAGAUACCAUAUUUUAAUUAUAUUGCCUCAGCAAUGCAGUUUUGCCCAUGGUAAUUUUUCAUACAGCAUUUGCAAGGUGGAAACUGUCACAGCUCAAAAAGAGUUCAAACAAUUAACAUACUAUUUAAAACUUAAUCUUUGAAAGGUAUAUUUCAUUGAGGUUUCAUAUUGCAAAGAAAAGAUGGUCACAGAUUUCACAAACAUUCCUGCAAAUAAUUCUUCCCAUUUUUCUGAUACCCAUGAUGCUGGUUAAAAAAUAGUAGCAUUUCUGGUUGUCACUAGGAAGAAAGGGUAGUAUUUUAGAAUUUUUAAAAAGUGUUCUUUUUUCACAUAUUUCUAUUUUUGUGGGACAAAUUAAAUAUAGUUGGGGCUUAGAACAUGAAGUUGUUUUGAUAGGUGAAUGUUGGCACUAUCCUCAGAAAUUAUCAGCUUCUUCCAGGUAAAUUCUUCUUGAGGACAUUUACCACCCUGGGACUUCAGCAAAUUGCAUUAACUAAUGAACGUUGAAUUUGCCUAAACUUUGUCACUUAACAGAAAGUGGAGGACAUAAUUCUGCCUUCUUCCCCUGGCUCCCAUGUUCUCCUUACCUUUGGAAUCCUGUACUUCAGAAAUGCAUGGAUGGCUGUGCAGGGUGUGAUUACUGCUGAGUGGUUGUACUGUGUACUGUGUGAUAUUCUUGAUGGUUUGUAUUUUUGGGGGUUUUACAUGGAGAAAGAACUUCGUUUCAGCAUGGACCUAGGAAACCGUUGCUUUUAGGAGUGCUACUGCCUACUGCUGUUGUAAAGAGCGCAAGAGGAGGAUGCAGCAGUGAUGGUUUUUAUCAAUAAUGAUAACUGCUUUUUAUUUAUAUUUCCGAAAUCUAGCUUGCAUACUAUUUAGUGUAGUGGUUCUGAUGCGCCUUCCAACUCCCACAUGGAAGUUGCUGCUCUCAGUACAGUUGCAGUGAGCUGCCUACACUUAAAAUAUGCCACCUGAUCUUGUGUUUUCCUGCAGAAUGGUUUUAGUAGGCAUGAAAAAAUGUGGUACAGACAUGUCAUGGGCUUUCUGAAAAAAACUUUUGUAUCAAGAUUCCUCAGUCCGGCUGGCUAACAGGCCAUGUGCAGCCUGAUUUCCUGUCUUACAUGUAGUUUUACCAUAAUUCUUUGACCAAUGGGCAGGGAACAGCCUUUCACAGGCUCUCAGGACAUAAUUUCAAGCAAUUUCUUAGUAACUAGCAAUUCACUUCCGGAGCUAGAGGUGGUCUAAACUGAGCUCCAAAGCGACCAUUAACUUUUUCUCUUUCAAAUAGAGCCAGUGAGUAUUUUUCCCUCUGGGUGCACACUUGCAUAUCUUUACAAACAGGGCACUGUUAGAUUUCUACCCUGCCAUAAACUCUGACUGUAAUACCUCAUCCUCUACUGACCUGAAGUGAACUCUGAGGAGAGGGAACAGUAAUAAAGCAAAACCCAGCAAACAGUGUGAAGCUUUUGUAAGAUCUUAUAUAACUGGAUUGGCUAUAUUGGGAACUUGCCUUUGGUUUUAAUUAUAGAUUUAAGGGUGCACUUAUCGGGCUCUGUGCCAUCUCUUUGCUCCCUCCCUUCACUCUCGAUUUGCUUUAUAUAAUGAGCAACCACUACAAAAA